rnacentral:tRNA from 1 species
GGCACUGUGGCUGAGUGGUAAAGCGCUUGGCUUCCAAACCGGGGACCAGGGUUCAAAUCCUUAUGAAGACU